rnacentral:rRNA from 1 species
UACGUAGGGACCAAGCGUUGUUCGGAUUUACUGGGCGUAAAGGGCGCGUAGGCGGCGCGGUAAGUCACUUGUGAAAUCUCUGAGCUUAACUCAGAACGGCCAAGUGAUACUGCAGUGCUAGAGUGUGGAAGGGGCAAUCGGAAUUCUUGGUGUAGCGGUGAAAUGCGUAGAUAUCAAGAGGAACACCUGAGGUGAAGACGGGUUGCUGGGCCAACACUGACGCUGGAGGCGACGAAAGCCAGGGGAGCAAACGGG